rnacentral:rRNA from 1 species
GACGAACGCUGGCGGCGUGCCUAAUACAUGCAAGUUGAGCGCUGAAGGUUGGUACUUGUACCGACUGGAUGAGCAGCGAACGGGUGAGUAACGCGUGGGGAAUCUGCCUUUGAGCGGGGGACAACAUUUGGAAACGAAUGCUAAUACCGCAUAAAAACUUUAAACACAAGUUUUAAGUUUGAAAGAUGCAAUUGCAUCACUCAAAGAUGAUCCCGCGUUGUAUUAGCUAGUUGGUGAGGUAAAGGCUCACCAAGGCGAUGAUACAUAGCCGACCUGAGAGGGUGAUUGGCCACAAUGGGACUGAGACACGGCCCAAACUCCUACGGGAGGCAGCAGUAGGGAAUCUUCGGCAAUGGACGAAAGUCUGACCGAGCAACGCCGCGUGAGUGGAGAAGGGUUUCGGAUCGUAAAACUCUGUUGGUAGAGAAGAACGUUGGUGAGAGUGGAAAGCUCAUCAAGUGACGGUAACUACCCAGAAAGGGACGGCUAACUACGUG